rnacentral:rRNA from 1 species
UGGGGAAUAUUGGGCAAUGGGCGCAAGCCUGACCCAGCCACGCCGCGUGAGUGAUGAAGGCCUUCGGGUCGUAAAGCUCUGUGGGGAGGGACGAAAAAACGGCAGCUAACACCUCACGGACUGACGGUACCUCCUUAGCAAGCACCGGCUAACUCCGUGCCAGCAGCCGCGGUAAUACGGAGGGUGCAAACGUUGCUCGGAAUCAUUGGGCGUAAAGCGCACGUAGGCGGUCCAGCAAGUCGGGAGUGAAAGCCCUCGGCUUAACCGAGGAAGUGCAUUCGAAACUACCGGACUUGAAUACUGGAGAGGGUUGCGGAAUUCCCGGUGUAGAGGUGAAAUUCGUAGAUAUCGGGAGGAACACCAGUGGCGAAGGCGGCAACCUGGACAGAUAUUGACGCUGAGGUGCGAAAGCGUGGGGAGCAAACAGGAUUAGAUACCCCUGUAGUCC